UAUUCCCCACUGCUGCCUCCCGUAGGAGUUUGGGCCGUGUCUCAGUCCCAAUGUGGCCGGUCGCCCUCUCAGGCCGGCUACGGAUCAUCGUCUUGGUGGGCCGUUACCUCACCAACUAACUAAUCCGACGCGGGUCCAUCUUUCACCACCGGAGUUUUCCUCCCUGUGCCAUGCGGCACCGUGAGCAUAUGCGGUAUUAACAGCCGUUUCCAGCUGGUAUCCCCCGGUGAAAGGCAGGUUCCCCACGCGUCCCUCACCCAUCCGCCGCACUGAAUAAACUUCCUUGGCCGAAACCUUGUCGGUUUAUUCAUCGCUCGACUUGCAUGUGUUAGGCACGCCGCCAGCGUUCAUCCUGAGCCAA
rnacentral:rRNA from 1 species